rnacentral:tRNA from 1 species
GGCAAAACCGGCUAACUUGGUUAUGCUCCGCGGCUCGGGCCCGCGUGAUCCCGGUUCGAAUCCGGGUACCCCCA